rnacentral:tRNA from 1 species
GCGAGCGUGGCGGAAUCGGCAGACGCGCUAGGUUCAGGACCUAGUGGGCGCAAGCCCGUGGGGGUUCAAAUCCCUUCGCUCGCACCA